rnacentral:lncRNA from 1 species
GCGCGCGUGUGCGGGGCUUAACUCAUCCAGGGGAAGCGCAUGCAUCGGAGGCACUCGAUCACGCGGCCAGCGCAGCAGCCAGAAACAAUGGCACGUCGCGGAAUUAAAUGGAAGCUCGUCCCUGCACCGCGGGGCGGAGGUGCAUGUAACCCAUGCCUGCCAGCUGUCGCAAUCGACGUCGAUAGAUAUAGCUGCCUGCCCCUGACCGCAUUUCGAGUGCGCCGCCUGGUCGUCG